rnacentral:rRNA from 2 species
UUUUUAUGGAGAGUUUGAUCCUGGCUCAGGAUGAACGCUGGCGGCGUGCCUAAUACAUGCAAGUCGAGCGAACGGACGAGAAGCUUGCUUCUCUGAUGUUAGCG